GACGGAGGAUGCAAGUGUUAUCCGGAAUCACUGGGCGUAAAGCGUCUGUAGGUGGUUUCAAAAGUCCACUUUUAAAGAUUGAAGCUUAACUUCAAAAAUGCCGUGGAAACUUUGAAACUUGAGUAUGAUAGGGGUAGAGGGAAUUUCCAGUGGAGCGGUGAAAUGCGUAGAUAUUGGAAAGACCACCAAUGGCGAAGGCACUCUACUGGGCCAUUACUGACACUGAGAGACGAAAGCUAUGGGAGCAAAUGGG
rnacentral:rRNA from 1 species